CUGUGUGGUCUAGUGGUAUGAUUCUCGCUUUGGGUGCGAGAGGUCCCGGGUUCAAUCCCCGGUUCGG
rnacentral:tRNA from 1 species